GGGAUAUUGGUCAAUGGGGGCAACCCUGAACCAGCAACGCCGCGUGAGGGAAGACGGUUUUCGGAUUGUAAACCCCUGUCCUCUGUGAAGAUAAUGACGGUAGCAGAGGAGGAAGCUCCGGCUAACUACGUGCCAGCAGCCGCGGUAAUACGUAGGGAGCAAGCGUUGUCCGGAUUUACUGGGUGUAAAGGGUGCGUAGACGGAGAAGCAAGUUAGUUGUGAAAUCCCUCGGCUUAACUGAGGAACUGCAACUAAAACUACUUCCCUUGAGUGCUGGAGAGGAAAGUGGAAUUCCUAGUGUAGCGGUGAAAUGCGUAGAUAUUAGGAGGAACACCAGUGGCGAAGGCGACUUUCUGGACAGUAACUGACGUUGAGGCACGAAAGUGUGGGGAGCAAACAG
rnacentral:rRNA from 1 species